rnacentral:tRNA from 1 species
GGGCCGGUCGUCUAGCAUGGUAGGACAUCGCCCUUACGAGGCGAAGGUCGCCGGUUCAAGUCCGGCCCGGCCCACCA